GGGUAAAAAGUUCAGUGGUUAGAGUGUUUGACUCCCAGGCAAAAGUUCUGGGUUUGAUCCCCAAUGUCCACA